rnacentral:rRNA from 1 species
UAAGUGAUGUGGAGCAAAACUCAAAAAAAUAAGUCUCAGUUCGGAUUGAAGGCUGGAAUUCGCCUUCAUGAAGCCGGAAUUGCUAGUAAUGGCAGGUCAGCAUACUGCCGUGAAUACGUUCCCGGGCCUUGUACACACCGCCCGUCACACCAUGAGAGUUGGGAAUACCCGAAGCCUGUGAGCUAACUUUUAGAGGCAGCAGUCGAAGGUAGAAUCAAUGAUUGGGGUGAAGUCGUAACAAGGUAGC